rnacentral:rRNA from 1 species
UACGUAGGUGGCAAGCGUUGUCCGGAUCUACUGGGUGUAAAGGGCGUGCAGCCGGAGAGACAAGUCAGAUGUGAAAUCCACGGGCUCAACCCGUGAACUGCAUUUGAAACUGUUUCCCUUGAGUGUCGGAGAGGUAAUCGGAAUUCCUUGUGUAGCGGUGAAAUGCGUAGAUAUAAGGAAGAACACCAGUGGCGAAGGCGGAUUACUGGACGAUAGCUGACGGUGAGGCGCGAAAGCGUGGGGAGCAAACAGG